rnacentral:rRNA from 1 species
UACGUAGGGUGCGAGCGUUAAUCGGAAUUACUGGGCGUAAAGCGUGCGCAGGCGGUUUUGUAAGCCGGAUGUGAAAUCCCCGGGCUUAACCUGGGAAUGGCAUUCGGGACUGCAAGGCUGGAGUGCGGCAGAGGAGACUGGAAUUCCUGGUGUAGCAGUGAAAUGCGUAGAUAUCAGGAGGAACACCGAUGGCGAAGGCAGGUCUCUGGACUGACACUGACGCUCAUGCACGAAAGCGUGGGGAGCAAACAGG